rnacentral:rRNA from 1 species
UACGGAGGGGGCUAGCGUUGUGCGGAAUUACUGGGGGUAAAGCGCACGUAGGCGGCUUUGUAAGUUAGAGGGGAAAGCCCGGGGCUCAACUCCGGAAUUGCCUUUAAGACUGCAUCGCUAGAAUUGUGGAGAGGUAAGUGGAAUUGCGAGUGUAGAGGUGAAAUUCGUAGAUAUUCGGAAGAACACCAGUGGCGAAGGCGACUUACUGGACACAUAUUGACGCUGAGGUGCGAAAGCGUGGGGAGCAAACAGG